UAGGGAAUCUUCCGCAAUGGACGCAAGUCUGACGGAGCAACGCCGCGUGAGUGAAGAAGGUUUUCGGAUCGUAAAGCUCUGUUGUUAAGGAAGAACGAGUGUGAGAAUGGAAAGUUCAUACUGUGACGGUACUUAACCAGAAAGGGACGGCUAACUACGUGCCAGCAGCCGCGGUAAUACGUAGGUCCCGAGCGUUGUCCGGAUUUAUUGGGCGUAAAGCGAGCGCAGGCGGUUAGAUAAGUCUGAAGUUAAAGGCAGUGGCUCAACCAUUGUAGGCUUUGGAAACUGUUUAACUUGAGUGCAGAAGUGGAGAGUGGAAUUCCAUGUGUAGCGGUGAAAUGCGUAGAUCUAUGGAGGAACACCGGUGGCGAAAGCGGCUCUCUGGUCUGUAACUGACGCUGAGGCUCGAAAGCGUGGGGAGCGAACAGG
rnacentral:rRNA from 1 species